rnacentral:rRNA from 1 species
GAUGAACGCUGGCGGCGUGCCUAAUACAUGCAAGUCGAGCGAACAGACGAGGAGCUUGCUCCUUCGACGUUAGCGGCGGACGGGUGAGUAACACGUAGGUAACCUACCUAUAAGACUGGGAUAACUUCGGGAAACCGGAGCUAAUACCGGAUAAUAUUUCGAACCGCAUGGUUCGAUAGUGAAAGAUGGCUUUGCUAUCACUUAUAGAUGGACCUGCGCCGUAUUAGCUAGUUGGUAAGUUAACGGCUUACCAAGGCAACGAUACGUAGCCGACCUGAGAGGGUGAUCGACCACACUGGAGCUGGGAAACGGUCCAGACUCCUACGGGAGGCAGCAGUAGGGAAGUUUACGCAAUGGGCGAAAGCCUGACGGAGCAACGCCGCGUGUGUGAUUAAGGUCUUCGGAUCGUAAAACUCUGUUAUUAGGGAAGAACAGACGUGUAAGUAACUGUGCACGUCUUGACGGUACCUAACCAGAAAGCCACGGCUAACUACGUG